rnacentral:rRNA from 2 species
AACGCCGCGUGAGUGAAGAAGGGUUUCGGCUCGUAAAACUCUGUUGUUAAAGAAGAACAUAUCUGAGAGUAACUGUUCAGGUAUUGACGGUAUUUAACCAGAAAGCCACGGCUAACUACGUGCCAGCAGCCGCGGUAAUACGUAGGUGGCAAGCGUUGUCCGGAUUUAUUGGGCGUAAAGCGAGCGCAGGCGGUUUUUUAAGUCUGAUGUGAAAGCCUUCGGCUCAACCGAAGAAGUGCAUCGGAAACUGGGGAACUUGAGUGCAGAAGAGGACAGUGGAACUCCAUGUGUAGCGGUGAAAUGCGUAGAUAUAUGGAAGAACACCAGUGGCGAAGGCGGCUGUCUGGUCUGUAACUGACGCUGAGGCUCGAAAGUAUGGGUAGCAAACAGGAUUAGAUACCCUGGUAGUCCAUACCGUAAACGAUGAAUGCUAAGUGUUGGAGGGUUUCCGCCCUUCAGUGCUGCAGCUAACGCAUUAAGCAUUCCGCCUGGGGAGUACGGCCGCAAGGCUGAAACUCAAAGGAAUUGACGGGGGCCCGCUCAAGCGGUGGAGCAUGUGGUUUAAUUCGAAGCUACGCGAAGAACCUUACCAGGUCUUGACAUACUAUGCAAAUCUAAGAGAUGAGACGUUCCCUUUGGGGACAUGGAUACAGGUGGUGCAUGGUUGUCGUCAGCUCGUGUCGUGAGAUGUUGGGUUAAGUCCGCAACGAGCGCAA